AGGUGCCGCCUGCCAUGACCAACAUGGCUGUCACCCCGAGCGACAAUUUCAGUAGAAUUUCUGCACUCAGAUUCGAAAUAUCCCGCGCAAUGUGCGUCCGCGUUGUUUUUCUGUUUGGAGUAGCCGCGCUAGCGCUGCAGGCGCUGCAGAGAAUGCCGCGCCAAACCCGAAACUACGCCACCGUACCGAAACUUUCGAAACGCCGCGCCGACGGGUCUUCGGAGUGCGCGCGCUCGAAGCGACCAAGCGGCAGCCAUUACCACCAGCGUCGGCGCAUUGUUCUGCCGUCGUUGGUGUCUCCCGCAGUUUCGAACAGCCAAGACUCCACGACUGCAGCCGUUUCAUUGCCAGCUGUAAGGAUGAAGCAGCUUCAUAGCCGGACAUCAGACGCCUUCCAAGUUCCCCUUUUCAGCAACAGAGGCAUAGGAUGCCAUUCUACCUGUGCUGCAUUGUGUGGCUGACCACUCCUAGGAUCUCAGCAGAAUCAUUACACAGUUUCAGAAGCCACAAUUGCCUGGCAUGCUGUCUGGUCAUGAUGCGUGGCUACAAUGCACAACCUUUUGAGGAUUCCAGACUGUACACAACACUUGUGGCCUAGUUUGCUGGAUGCAUAUUAUGCCGUAAGCCACAACCAUCCUUCUUUAUUUUUUACUUCUGCCUUUUUUUUUGUCACAGCACAAAACCGUCCUAACAAGGGCCUGUGAAAAUAUGAUUUGCACAACUGAAUUAGGCAUGACGAUGGAAUAUAAUGAAUGAGAUGAGCCAAGUAAAAAAUGGUCGCAGUUGUUUCGUAUGCUCUUGUGCUUUUUCAUGGGCAAAAGCGCACUUGGUCCCUAUGGGCUAAAUGCCUUUCUUUCUGUAGGAAGCUUGUGAACAGAGAUUUGCUCUGAUGUGAGAA